AUGGGGGUAAAGGGGGUAUAUGGGGCCAGGGAAGUGAACAAGGGGGUGGUCAGUACCAGUGAAACACCUCAGCCUCCUCGGAAGAAGAGGGCCCGGGUUGAUCCUACUGUUGAAAAUGAAGAAACAUUUAUGAACAGAGUUGAAGUUAAAGUAAAGAUCCCUGAAGAGCUAAAGCCGUGGCUUGUUGAUGACUGGGAUCUGAUCACCAGACAGAAACAGCUGUUCUAUCUUCCUGCUAAGAAGAAUGUGGACUCCAUUCUAGAGGACUAUGCAAAUUAUAAGAAAUCCCAAGGAAACACAGAUAAUAAGGAGUAUGCUGUUAAUGAGGUGGUAGCAGGGAUAAAAGAAUACUUCAAUGUGAUGCUGGGCACUCAGCUCCUCUACAAAUUUGAGAGACCACAGUACGCUGAGAUCCUUGCUGAUCACCCUGAUGCACCCAUGUCCCACGUGUUUGGAGCACCACAUCUACUGAGAUUAUUUGUCCGAAUUGGAGCAAUGUUGGCCUAUACACCUCUGGAUGAGAAGAGCCUUGCUUUAUUACUGAAUUAUCUUCAUGAUUUCCUCAAGUAUCUGGCAAAGAAUUCGGCAACUUUGUUUAGUGCCAGUGAUUAUGAAGUGGCCCCUCCUGAGUACCAUCGGAAAGCAGUGUGAGGCGCACUCACCGGUGUUUGGAUCUCUGUCGACAUGUUUUUGUUCCUAGUCUUUCUCUUGUACAAAUGAUGUACUUUGAAGAUGUUAGUGUAUAACAGAGUUGUUUGUUUUGUUUGAUUUUAAA